UACGAAGGGGGCGAGCGUUGUUCGGAUUUACUGGGCGUAAAGGGCGCGCAGGCGGCUUUGUUUGUCAGGCGUGAAAGCCCCGGGCUUAACCUGGGAACUGCGUUUGAUACGGCAGGGCUAGAGUUCGGGAGAGGAGAGUGGAAUUCCCAGUGUAGAGGUGAAAUUCGUAGAUAUUGGGAAGAACACCGUGGUGCGAAGGCGGCUCUCUGGACCGAUACUGACGCUGAGGCGCGAAAGCGUGGGGAGCAAACAGG
rnacentral:rRNA from 1 species